rnacentral:rRNA from 1 species
CAGUAGCCGCGGUAAUACAGAGGGUGCGAGCGUUAAUCGGAUUUACUGGGCGUAAAGCGUGCGUAGGCGGCUUUUUAAGUCGGAUGUGAAAUCCCUGAGCUUAACUUAGGAAUUGCAUUCGAUACUGGGAAGCUAGAGUAUGGGAGAGGAUGGUAGAAUUCCAGGUGUAGCGGUGAAAUGCGUAGAGAUCUGGAGGAAUACCGAUGGCGAAGGCAGCCAUCUGGCCUAAUACUGACGCUGAGGUACGAAAGCAUGGGGAGCAAACAGGAUUAGAUACCCCAGUAGUCUCUGUCUCUUAUAC